AAGGGUAUAGCUCAAUGGUAGAGCAUGUGCUUAACAUGUACGAGGUCCUGGGUUCAAUCCUCAGUACCAUUG
rnacentral:tRNA from 1 species